rnacentral:rRNA from 1 species
CCUACGGGUGACAGCAGUGGGGGAGAGUGCACAAUGGGGGAAACCCUGAUGCAGCGACGCCGCGUGGGGGAAGACGGUCCUCUGGAUUGUAAACCACUGUCCCCAGGGACGAAGAUGACGGGACCGGGGGAGGAAGCGCCGGCUAACUACGUGCCAGCAGCCGCGGUAAUACGUAGGGAGCGAGCGUUGUCCGGAAGUACUGGGUGUAAAGGGAGCGUAGGCGGGGCUGCAAGUGGGGUGUCAAAACUACCGGCUCAACUGGUAGUCGCACUCCAAACUGCAGCUCUUGCGUGAAGUAGAGUCAGGCGGCAUUCCUCGUGUAGCGGUGACAUGCGUCGAUCUUAGGCG